UACGUAGGGGGCAAGCGUUGUCCGGAAUCAUUGGGCGUAAAGCGCGUGUAGGCGGUCCGAUAAGUCGGUUGUGAAAGUCAAGGGCUCAACCCUUGAAUGCCGACCGAUACUGUCGGGCUAGAGUCCGGAAGAGGUGAGUGGAAUUCCUGGUGUAGCGGUGAAAUGCGUAGAUAUCUGGAGGAAUACCGGUGGCGAAGGCGGCAUCCUGGACCGGCAUUGACGCUGAGGAGCGAAAGCUAGGGGAGCAAACGGGG
rnacentral:rRNA from 1 species